rnacentral:rRNA from 1 species
AUUCAGCAAUGGAUCUUAGUGGCGAACGGGUGAGUAACGCGUAGGCAAUCUGCCUUCUAGAUGGGGACAACAUCCCGAAAGGGGUGCUAAUACCGAAUGUUGUAAUUGGUUCGCAUGGACUAGCUACUAAAGGUGGCCUCUGAAUAUGCUACCGCUAGAAGAUGAGCCUGCGUCUGAUUAGCUAGUUGGAGGGGUAACGGCCCACCAAGGCUUCGAUCAGUAGCCGGUCUGAGAGGAUGAACGGCCACACUGGGACUGAGACACGGCCCAGACUCCUACGGGAGGCAGCAGUGGGGAAUCUUCCGCAAUGGACGAAAGUCUGACGGAGCAACGCCGCGUGAGUGAAGAAGGUUUUCGGAUCGUAAAGCUCUUUCGUUAGGGACGAACGUGCUCUUUGUGAAUAAUGAGGAGUAAUGACGGUACCUAAAUAAGAAGCCACGGCUAACUACGUGCCAGCAGCCGCGGUAAUACGUAGGUGGCAAGCGUUGUCCGGAAUUAUUG